GGUGCGCUGCGCGCGGCAGGUUCGAAGCGCGGGCGCGGCCCGAGUGCUGAGGCGGCGGUGGCGGCGGCGCGAGACGCGAGGCGGCGGCGGCGGCCACGGUCCGGGCGGGUCCCCGCGGCUCCCGGCGGCGGCGCCAUGGACGAGGCCGUGGGAGACCUGAAGCAGGCCCUGCCCUGCGUGGCCGAGGCGCCGACCGUCCAUGUGGAGGUGCACCAGCGGAGCGGCAGCACUGCAAAAAAAGAAGACGUAAAGCUGAAUGUUAGAAAGCUGCUCAACAGACAUAACAUUGUCUUUGGCGACUACACCUGGACUGAGUUUGAUGAGCCUUUUCUGACCAGAAAUGUGCAGUCUGUGUCCAUCGUUGACACCGAAUUGAAGGUUAAAGACCCACAGCCCAUCGACUUGAGCACGUGCACCGUCGCACUUCACGUCUUCCAGCUGAAUGAAGGCGGCCCCAGCAGCGAAAACUUGGAGGAAGAGACAGAAAACAUAAUUGCGGCAAAUCACUGGCUCCUGCCUGCAGCUGAAUUCCACGGGCUCUGGGACAGCCUGGUGUACGAUGCGGAGGUCAAGUCUCACCUCCUCGACUACGUGAUGACAACUUUGCUGUUUUCGGACAAGAACGUCGACAGCAAUCUCAUCACCUGGAACCGGGUGGUGCUGCUUCAUGGUCCUCCAGGAACUGGAAAAACAUCCCUGUGUAAAGCUUUAGCCCAGAAAUUGACCAUCAGACUCUCAAGCAGGUACCGCUACGGCCAGUUAAUUGAGAUAAACAGCCACAGCCUCUUCUCCAAGUGGUUUUCAGAAAGCGGCAAGCUGGUAACUAGGAUGUUCCAGAAGAUUCAGGAUUUAAUUGAUGACAAGGACGCUCUGGUGUUUGUGCUGAUCGACGAGGUGGAGAGCCUGACGGCCGCCCGAAAUGCCUGCAGGGCGGGCACCGAGCCUUCGGACGCCAUCCGAGUCGUCAACGCCGUCUUGACCCAGAUCGAUCAGAUUAAAAGGUGACGCUCCGCGCAGCGGGCUCUUCCUAAGAGGCAGGGACACCUCUUGGCCUUCCUCGCAGCUCUUCUUGCCGAGAGCACAUCUGGCGCUGGGUGUUGGCUCUGUCUCCCCCACGUUCGAGUGAUAAAGACGUAAAACAGGCCUCGGGUGUGGAGAGAGCUCAGGUGUGGAGAGGCCUCUGGGCAUCAGUGCCUAUGGGACUGGUGCUGGUCGUCGUCGAGGGGCUGGCCCUGGGCAGGCAGGCGGGCGGUGCAGCCUCGGGAGUCCCGGGCCCGUGGUCAGUGGGCCCCACUGACCCCGCUGCGGGGGCACUUAACCAACACGCAGGCACCUGCCGUGUGGUCCUUCACCCUCGGCGUCUCCGUGUGCUCUCCGGGGGUGCUGGCCUCCAGGGCCCCGCUGCUCAACAGAGGGCGCGGUGGCAGCAGUGACAGCCGGCUGGGCUGCGCUCCCACCUGUCCUAUCCUGCACGGGUCCCUCACAGGGGAGCCCGCCGCCCCUCAGCUGCAGGGGCCCCUUGCUUCUGGCCCUCCUGCAAGUGGGCCUUUGGGGUGUAGACCCCCUCUUCUCCCCGCCCGCCACACCUCAGCCUGCCUUCUGCCCCGGCCCCUCGUUCCCCGAGUGCCCGGUGUGGAACUGUCCCCGUCUCCACUGUCCUGAGCACCUAGGUGCUGCCAGCAUCUCCCCGGCAUCUUUGGGGCGGGGGCCCUGCACAGCCUCCCAGCCUUGGCUCCGGUGCCUGCGCCCCGACCAGACAUGAGACCGGCUCCCAGGCCCUCGGUCCACUGCGAAGCCCCAGACCUGCAGGCUUCCCCUCACGACCGGAAGACGGUCCUGACCUCGCGGGAGGAGGGAGGCUGUGGGCUCUGGUCUCUCCUCGCCUCACGUGGCUCAGGCCUGCUCAGGACCACCCUUCCGCCCCAGCCUGGGCGCAGGUCUGACCCCGCUUGAAAAGCCCGACCCCGGGCACAGCUCCCAGUGGCAUGUGUGCGUGCGUCCGUGCAGCCUGCGGCCUCCCGCCUGGGCCUGCCCUGCUCACACUGGGCAGGGCCGUGUGCUGCUGGCACAGGGGAGGCCCACCCUCCAGGUGCACCCUGGCCGCCAGACUGCCUGCCCGGGGCUCCCCAGGGUCCCUGCCCUGGGCCGCCGUGUCAGUGAGCAGACCAGACAGUAGUGGCCCUCCUGUGGCGCCCAGAGGCUGGAGGGGAAAGCCGCUGGUAAAGAGGACACAAUCCGGCCCUGUGGCAUCUUGGCACCAUGGAAGCUGUGUGAGGGCAGCUGCGCCCAGGCAGGGGGUGUUGGUCCUGGGGCUUCAGGCAGCUGCACAGAGGCACUCCAACGUGGUGAUCCUGACCACCUCCAACAUCACGGAGAGGAUCGACGUGGCCUUCGUGGACAGGGCGGACAUCAGGCAGUACGUCGGGCCGCCCUCCGCAGCCGCCAUCUUCAAGAUCUACCUCUCCUGCUUGGAGGAGCUGAUGAAGUGUCAGAUCAUAUACCCCCGCCAGCAGCUGCUGACCCUCCGCGAGCUGGAGAUGAUCGGCUUCAUCGAGAACAACGUGUCCAAGCUGAGCCUCCUCCUGAGUGAGAUCUCAAGGAAGAGCGAGGGCCUCAGCGGCCGCGUCCUGAGGAAGCUGCCUUUCCUGGCUCACGCGCUCUACAUCCAGGCCCCCACCGUCACCAUCGAGGGCUUCCUCCAGGCCCUGUCCCUGGCAGUGGACCGGCAGUUUGAGGACAGAAAGAAGCUCUCCUGCGUGUGACCCGGCUUCCGCCUGGAGAGUCUCCACACCCACGGCUGAGACCUGCAGCCCAGAAACCCACGGGCCAGUGUUGAAGAAGUGUGUCCUACUUACACGGUAUUCUAGGAGGCUUGUGUUUCCACGCUUUCAAGCUCACGUCGGGGGACGGCCAGCUGUCGUUUUCGCUUUUAACAGCCGAUCGUCCGAGCCCUGUGUCUCUGUAAAGACCCGCCUCGUGUCCUUAUUCUGUCCUGCCUCUGGUUGAUUGGACCCAAGAUACUGACAAGUUUUGUUUUCAGAAGAUGAUGGGUGUAUGACUUACAGGAGCGGGAGAAACCGCGUAGCCUUAAACAAGGAUGCAAUCGCAGCCUGAGCUUCAGCGCGCUCCCCGCCGUGAACUCGCUUGGAGACUGAUGGGCGGACAGGCCCCGGUCCUACGUCUCAGCACAGGGGGAACAGUGCUCCUCCCGGAGGCAGAUCCAUCUGCGGGGAGGGCUCCCUCCCUCGCGACCAGCGGACGCGUUCCCCGCGUCACGGGACGGUCUCACGGGACGGUCCCGUGCGGUGUGCUCGAGAGCCGCAGCCGUGGCUCGCGUGACACUGAUUCUCAGCCGGGGAGAAAUCGGCUGGCCCGGGGGUGGUGUCCAGAGUCGAGUCUGCUUUCCUCGCACUGAAGUGAAUUUCCUGUGAGCGCUUUGUACACGUUCCUAAGAGAACUUCUUACCUUUUGUUAGAGACUUUAAACAUUAAAAUUCUUUUCCAGAA